GGCUCAGAACGAACGCUGGCGGCGUGCUUAACACAUGCAAGUCGAACGAACCUUCGGGUUAGUGGCGGACGGGUGAGUAACGCGUGAGAAUCUGCCCUCAGGAGGGGGAUAACGGUUGGAAACGACCGCUAAUACCCCAUAUGCCGAGAGGUGAAAAGAAAUUCGCCUGAGGAUGAGCUCGCGUCUGAUUAGCUAGUUUGUGUUGUAAUGGCGCACGGAAAAAUUCGAUCAGUAGCUGGUCUGAGAGGAUGAUCAGCCACA
rnacentral:rRNA from 1 species